GACGAACGCUGGCGGCGUGCUUAACACAUGCCAGUCGAACGGAAAGGCCCUGCUUUUGUGGGGUGCUCGAGUGGCGAACGGGUGAGUAACACGUGAGUAACCUGCCCUUGACUUUGGGAUAACUUCAGGAAACUGGGGCUAAUACCGGAUAGGAGCUCCUGCUGCAUGGUGGGGGUUGGAAAGUUUCGGCGGUUGGGGAUGGACUCGCGGCUUAUCAGCUUGUUGGUGGGGUAGUGGCUUACCAAGGCUUUGACGGGUAGCCGGCCUGAGAGGGUGACCGGCCACAUUGGGACUGAGAUACGGCCCAGACUCCUACGGGAGGCAGCAGUGGGGAAUAUUGCACAAUGGGCGGAAGCCUGAUGCAGCAACGCCGCGUGCGGGAUGACGGCCUUCGGGUUGUAAACCGCUUUCGCCUGCGACGAAGCGUGAGUGACGGUAAUGGGUAAAGAAGCACCGGCUAACUACGUG
rnacentral:rRNA from 1 species